UGAGGAACAUGACCUUCGGCGGGGGAUAGCCGGCCCAACGGCCGGGUAAUACCGCGUACGACCACAUGGGGACAUCCCUGAGUGGUGAAAGCAGCAAUGCGCCGAUGGAGUGCCUCGCGGCCUAUCAGCUAGUUGGUGAGGUAACGGCUCACCAAGGCGACGACGGGUAGCUGGUCUGAGAGGAUGGCCAGCCACAGUUGGGACUGAGACACGGCCCAGACCUGUACCGGGGA
rnacentral:rRNA from 1 species